rnacentral:rRNA from 1 species
UGGGGAAUUUUGGACAAUGGGCGAAAGCCUGAUCCAGCAAUGCCGCGUGUGUGAAGAAGGCCUUCGGGUUGUAAAGCACUUUUGUCCGGAAAGAAAUCCUUGGCUCUAAUACAGUCGGGGGAUGACGGUACCGGAAGAAUAAGCACCGGCUAACUACGUGCCAGCAGCCGCGGUAAUACGUAGGGUGCAAGCGUUAAUCGGAAUUACUGGGCGUAAAGCGUGCGCAGGCGGUUUGCUAAGACCGAUGUGAAAUCCCCGGGCUCAACCUGGGGAACUGCAUUGGUGACUGGCAGGCUAGAGUAUGGCAGAGGGGGGUAGAAUUCCACGUGUAGCAGUGAAAUGCGUAGAGAUGUGGAGGAAUACCGAUGGCGAAGGCAGCCCCCUGGGCCAAUACUGACGCUCAUGCACGAAAGCGUGGGGAGCAAACAGGAUUAGAUACCCUGGUAGUCCACGCCCUAAACGAUGUCAACUAGUUGUUGGGGAUUCAUUUCCUUAGUAACGUAGCUAACGCGUGAAGUUGACCGCCUGGGGAGUACGGUCGCAAGAUUAAAACUCAAAGGAAUUGACGGGGUCAUAGCUGUUUCC